GACGAACGCUGGCGGCGUGCCUAAUACAUGCAAGUCGAACGCACUCUCGUUAGAUUGAAGAAGCUUGCUUCUGAUUGAUAACAUUUGAGUGAGUGGCGGACGGGUGAGUAACACGUGGGUAACCUGCCCUAAAGUGGGGGAUAACAUUUGGAAACAGAUGCUAAUACCGCAUAAAACCUAAGCACCGCAUGGUGCAAGGUUGAAAGAUGGUUUCGGCUAUCACUUUAGGAUGGACCCGCGGUGGCAUUAGUUAGUUGGUGAGGUAAAGGACUCACCAAGACCGUGAUGCAUAGCCGACCUGAGAGGGUAAUACGGCCACACUGGGAC
rnacentral:rRNA from 1 species